UGGGGAAUCUUGCGCAAUGGGCGAAAGCCUGACGCAGCAACGCCGCGUGCGGGAUGAAGGCCUUCGGGUUGUAAACCGCUUUCAGCAGGGACGCGGUACCUGCAGAAGAAGCCCCGGCCAACUACGUGCCAGCAGCCGCGGUAACACGUAGGGGGCGAGCGUUGUCCGGAUUUAUUGGGCGUAAAGAGCUCGUAGGCGGCUCGGUAAGUCGGGUGUGAAACCUCCAGGCUCAACCUGGAGACGCCACCUGAUACUGCUGGGCUAGAGUCCGGUAGGGGAGCGUGGAACUCCUGGUGUAGCGGUGAAAUGCGCAGAUAUCAGGAAGAACACCAGCGGCGAAGGCGGCGCUCUGGGCCGGAACUGACGCUGAGGAGCGAAAGCGUGGGUAGCAAACAGGAUUAGAUACCCGGGUAGU
rnacentral:rRNA from 1 species